rnacentral:rRNA from 2 species
UCCAGGCAAAUCCGGAUAAUCAAGGCUGAGGUGUGAUGACGAGGCACUACGGUGCUGAAGUAACAAAUGCCCUGCUUCCAGGAAAAGCCUCUAAGCAUCAGGUAACAUUAAAUCGUACCCCAAACCGACACAGGUGGUCAGGUAGAGAAUACCAAGGCGCUUGAGAGAACUCGGGUGAAGGAACUAGGCAAAAUGGUGCCGUAACUUCGGGAGAAGGCACGCUGGUGUGUAGGUGAAGUCCCUGCGGAUGGAGCUGAGACCAGUCGAAGAUACCAGCUGGCUGCAACUGUUUAUUAAAAACACAGCACUGUGCAAACACGAAAGUGGACGUAUACGGUGUGACGCCUGCCCGGUGCCGGAAGGUUAAUUGAUGGGGUUAUCCGUAAGGAGAAGCUCUUGAUCGAAGCCCCGGUAAACGGCGGCCGUAACUAUAACGGUCCUAAGGUAGCGAAAUUCCUUGUCGGGUAAGUUCCGACCUGCACGAAUGGCGUAAUGAUGGCCAGGCUGUCUCCACCCGAGACUCAGUGAAAUUGAACUCGCUGUGAAGAUGCAGUGUACCCGCGGCAAGACGGAAAGACCCCGUGAACCUUUACUAUAGCUUGACACUGAACAUUGAGCCUUGAUGUGUAGGAUAGGUGGGAGGCUUUGAAGCGUGGACGCCAGUCUGCGUGGAGCCAACCUUGAAAUACCACCCUUUAAUGUUUGAUGUUCUAACGUUGGCCCCUUACCGGGGUUGCGGACAGUGUCUGGUGGGUAGUUUGACUGGGGCGGUCUCCUCCCAAAGCGUAACGGAGGAGCACGAAGGUUAGCUAAUCCUGGUCGGACAUCAGGAGGUUAGUGCAAUGGCAUAAGCUAGCUUGACUGCGAGCGUGACGGCGCGAGCAGGUGCGAAAGCAGGUCAUAGUGAUCCGGUGGUUCUGAAUGGAAGGGCCAUCGCUCAACGGAUAAAAGGUACUCCGGGGAUAACAGGCUGAUACCGCCCAAGAGUUCAUAUCGACGGCGGUGUUUGGCACCUCGAUGUCGGCUCAUCACAUCCUGGGGCUGAAGUAGGUCCCAAGGGUAUGGCUGUUCGCCAUUUAAAGUGGUACGCGAGCUGGGUUUAGAACGUCGUGAGACAGUUCGGUCCCUAUCUGCCGUGGGCGCUGGAGAAUUGAGGGGGGCUGCUCCUAGUACGAGAGGACCGGAGUGGACGCAUCACUGGUGUUCGGGUUGUCAUGCCAAUGGCACUGCCCGGUAGCUAAAUGCGGAAGAGAUAAGUGCUGAAAGCAUCUAAGCACGAAACUUGCCCCGAGAUGAGUUCUCCCUGAGACUUUAAGUCUCCUGAAGGAACGUUAAAGACGAUGACGUUGAUAGGCCGGGUGUGUAAGCGCAGCGAUGCGUUGAGCUAACCGGUACUAAUGAACCGUGAGGCUUAACCUUACAACGCCGAAG